GCAGUCGAACGGUGAUAUUUAUAUCAUAGUGGCGCACGGGUGCGUAACACGUAUGCAACCUACCUAUUAUUGGGGGAUAGCCUUUGGAAACGGAGAUUAAUACCGCAUAAUACGAUUAACUGGCAUCGGUUGAUUGUUAAAGCAUUUGCGAUAAUAGAUGGGCAUGCGUCCAAUUAGUUAGUUGGUGUGGUAAUGGCUCACCAAGACGAUGAUUGGUAGGGGAUCUGAGAGGAUAAUCCCCCACACUGGCACUGAGAUACGGGCCAGACUCCUACGGGAGGCAGCAGUAGGGAAUAUUGGGCAAUGGGCGGAAGCCUGACCCAGCCAUGCCGCGUGCAGGAAGACGGCGUUAUGCGUUGUAAACUGCUUUUUUAUAGGAAGAAGGAUCCCUUGCGAGGGAAGGUGACGGUACUAUAAGAAUAAGCACCGGCUAACUCCGUGCCAGCAGCCGCGGUAAUACGGAGGGUGCAAGCGUUGUCCGGAUUUAUUGGGUUUAAAGGGUGCGUAGGCGGUUUAUUAAGUCAGUGGUGAAAGACGGUCGCUCAACGAUUGCAGUGCCAUUGAUACUGGUAGACUUGAGUGAGAUUGAGGUAGCUGGAAUGGAUAGUGUAGCGGUGAAAUGCAUAGAUAUUAUCCAGAACACCGAUUGCGAAGGCAGGUUACUAAGUCUUAACUGACGCUGAGGCACG
rnacentral:rRNA from 1 species